rnacentral:tRNA from 1 species
GCCCGGAUGGCGAAGUUGGUAGACGCAGCGGACUUAAACUCCGCCGCCCUUGAAAGAGGGCGUGCCGGUUCGACCCCGGUUCCGGGCACCA